GUGAAUGACACACAUACUAAAAUUGGAACUACACAGAGCAGAUUAGUAUGCCUCCUGUGCAAAUUUGUGAGGCAGUCUAUAUUUUU
ensembl:snRNA U6 U6 spliceosomal RNA